CUGACUACAUGACUACAGCAAGAGCAGGCUUAUAGGAGCCACGCAUGGCAGAAGUCCUGCAUUGAACAGCAAGGUUCUCCCUGUAGAUGUCCUGGCAUCCUCUGAAUCAGAAGAUGCAAGCUGUGGCCAUGCCACCUCUGACAGCAGCUGGAUCCCUGAAGUACAUUACUUGCCCCGCUAAAUGAUAGAGACCUUCUCCAGAUCUCUCAUAUGCCAAGAUGAAAAAACCAGCACAUCAUCCAGUAAUCUAAGCACGAAUGAACCAUGGUUUUAUGCAGCAGCCCUCUGGUUUGGCCUCUAUCCUUCCCUAGAACUUGAUUUGUUUCACUACCAAUAAGCACUAAGGUGAUGGUUCCACAGAACAGAAUUUCUCAUGACCUUAGAUUCAGGUUCAAGCUAGUCCCUGCUCUGACUGAUCUUCCUUGCCUGGACCUGUACCAGAGUGUGAGAAUACAUAGGAAUUGUGCAAAAGUGUGAAGUAAUAUGAUAGUACAGAAGCAUUGCACAGUUUGUUCUUCAAACCAAUGCAGUCACCCACAUGCCUGAUAAAAAGCAAAGCAGAGACUUUCUGGAUACUGCUUGUUCACAAAGAAACCUCAACAAAAUAACUGACGGGCAAUCAUGUGGGAGGAAGCAUGUUCUCAUCUUGUACCUCAGGAGGUAAGUAGCCUUAGGUAAACACAGUAGACAAGCACGAAGAGCCCAAAUCAUACUCCAUUCCCUGGCCUGAUUGUAAUCUGCUCUUAUUCUCUCACCUGGGAAAAAGUGUACAUGAGGAGCUUAUGCAAAGUCACUCCCAGGUUUGUCUCAGGAAUGGCUGUUAUUCAUGCAUAUUUGAAAGAGACAAAGUACAUGCAAAGCCAGUGAAUGGACUGAACCCUUAGCUAAUCCACACAGUGGAAAUUAAGUAGCACCAAGGUAAUGUGCAGGACUUCUAAAGUACUCCCUACCCUUAUUACAAUCAGGAAACACAGGCAAGGCUGUUGAGCCUGGCAGAGCCACAUCUUCUAUGUGUCUGCUGCCCACCCUGCAAUGUUAAACCCCCUUUUGCAUGCAGGCUUGCUAGAAAAGCAGCACAUUCUGCUGGCCUUCCUGUGAAUUUUGCUUCUCCACUUCAGACCAACAAUCCCAGCAUCUGCCUAAGUCACUGUUGUACUACACCAUUCUCCAUCUAUUGUCUCUUACCCCAUCUUCCACCGUGGCCUACCAUGUAUCUUCAUUCUUCUGUCCCUGCAG